rnacentral:lncRNA from 1 species
GAUGUGAUAUUGUAAUCAAUGAGUCAAUUUUUCACAACAGACCAAGUGACACAAAAAUUAACAACUUAAGGUCACCGUACGGCCUUCACUAAUAAAAAAAUACCAAACUGCAAAAUCAGUUACAAAGCCUCGAAAUGAUAGGUAAAACAAUUCAAACAAGUUAACAAACAGCCUGACUUAUGGUUUAAUUGGUGAACGACAAAAAAUGAAUUAUACUUCAUAUGAAAAUGCAAUAUUUUGAUGGCUGAUACGAGGGUGUUAAUUUACUCUAUCACAUGGCCGAGAGAGUGACAAUUUUUUUUUAAUGUUACCUUUUCGUCUAGAAAAUCGAUAGUUUAAAGGACAAUGGGUUGAAUAUACAUCAAGUAAAAAAAAACAAGGCUAAAGUUCCGCUACGUUUUGACUCAGAUUUUAUCAUUUGACUGUCAAUCCCCCCCCCCCAAAAAAAACAAAAACAAGACCGUUCCUGUUUGUAUGGUUUAACACUAGUAAUUUUUAGGACA